CUGAAUUUUUGAAGUCCUCGAUCACCCGACUUAAGGCCUCCCUCGCUGACUCCGCUUCCACCUUCGCCAACUCAGCAUUGGCUCGUGCGGAAGACGACUCCUCUUUGGCCAGUGCUAACCUUUCAAGGUUGGCCCGAUGUCAUCCGCGUUCGGCUUCAAGUUCAGUAAUACAUCCGUCUCGUUCCCAUCAAAGCCGGUGGAUGGAGUGUUUUUUGCUUUUGACCCGCAACUCAAGAGUCGAAAUAUUUUGAUGAGCUGACUCAAGGUCGGCUCUAGAAGAUUCCACGUCAUCAGUCAAAUGGGAGACUUUCUGUCGAAGCUUGGCCUCCCGCUCAGCUGCCAACCUAAGCUGCUCGAGGGCAGCCGCCUUUUCAGCAUCGACGACCGCCACUUUAUUCAUCCAUAUCCGACGGAAGUCGUCAAACUUCACAUAGCCAGCUUCUAAGUUGAACAUGUCGUGGACCAAUUGCAAACAGAAGAUGAGUCGGAUCAAAUCAAAAAAAAAGAAGAGAGAGAAAGAAACUCACUUCAAGUAUCAUCGGGUAAAAGGAUGAGAACAUCUCGACCACUGUCCUAUUUCUUCGAUUCUCUCGAUCGAUCAGGAGAAGAGCA
rnacentral:lncRNA from 1 species